CGCCCGAUCCCUAUUGGUCCCUGAGGAUUCCAUAUGCAAAUAUAUCUGGGCUGCGGGAAAGAGGAGGGGAAGAAACAAGUUCGACGGGGGGGGGGGGGGAAUUGGAAAGAGACCGCUGAUUGGCUAAUAGGGCACUGGGUGGGCGGGGUUAAGGGGAAUGAUUGACGGGAAAGGCGGAGAGUGUAGUCGGGCGAUGCGUCUUCUAAGAUGGAGGCGGCUGUUGGAGGCUUCUUGCUCCCAGGGUUUGCAUUGAAAGACAAGACUUCCAUUCUGGGGUGUCACAAAAGCAAAUGGGAAUAACUAGAUGCAGUUGAUGAAGAAGCCAGUAGAGCUUCGAAAGCUUGCAACAUGUAUAUUGUGCAUUUUGGUUCACCCAAGAAAGAUAUCACCGGUGGAUUUUUAAUGUUAUUAGAUCCUGUUGUGUGGAAAUUGUCACCUGUAGUGCUACAGGAGUGAUGAUUGAGAUGAUUCAAACAGAAAUUGAGAAGAAACACCAUGAAACUGUGCAGAUAAACUCAGGGAUGAGCACGUAAUGACAGACUUGCCCAGGCCAUCUUAAAGUCCAGACAGGUUCACACACUAUCAGACAGCUCUCUGCUUCAGAAUCUGAAAACAAUCCCAUAGCUGCUUCUGUGAAAUCUGUGUCCUAGAGUGCUCUAGGAACACCUGUGUCUCCUGGAAACCUGCCGAGAAGGAGGUGAGACGGAGAGCAUCAUCCUACAAAUACUGGCUCCAAGCACCAUUACUCCGGAACACCUGCAACCACCAUUACUCCAGAACAGGGACAUAGCCAGGAUUUUAGGAAGGGAGGGUUCAGACUAAGUGACACCAUUAUAAUGGGGCUUGGGCCCAGUGGCGCAGCAGCAUGCACCAUUCAUUGUAUCUAACGGAAGGGGGGAUCUGGACCUUAUGGACCCCCCCCCCUUGGCUACAUCUCUGCCUGGAAGCCUACCAAGAAGGAUGUGAGACGGAGAUUGGUGUCCUACAGAUGCUGGCUCCAACUACCUUUACUCCAAAAUACCUGCAGCCCCUGGAAGCCUGCCAAGAAGGAGGUGAGACGGAGAGCAGCGUCCUACAAGUGCCACUCCAGCCACCACUCCUCCGUAACUCCUGCGGCCCCUGGAAGCCUGUUGAGAGGGAGACGGACGUAGAGAUGGAGGGCGGCACUCUGCUGGUUUUGAACUGUCCUAAUUGCUUAACUAUUUUAAACCGAGAUGAAUGCUAUUAUUAUACAAUGCUUGUGGGAAUAAAAGGGACUAUGUUCUCUUCUUGUUGCUGUAUUUAUUGCUGUAUUGUAUCAUUGUAUUACAUUUCUGUUAUUUUGCUGCUAGUGGAGUAUUGGUAAUUGCCGUCUAGAUGUUAUGUCUUAAUUAUUACUAUGUUAGGUAAUUUUGGGAUUUUGUACCUUGUAUUUAUAUUAGCCAUUAUGCUAUGUUAUGUACUUUGGAGUAUAUUUGUUGUAUUUUUAUUAUUGAUUUUUGCUUUUUUGUAUAAUUAAUUUAUUGUUGUUAUGAUUUGUUAUGUGACAAUUUGGUGAGGGGGGUAUAAGUUUCUUUUUUGUAUUUGAUACUUUUUGUAUUUGUAUUUGAUACUUUACUUUUGUAAUCUGCCUUGAUUCUGCAAGGAAAAGGCAGAAUAUUAUUACAGUAUUAUUAUUAUUAUUAUUAUUAUUAUUAUUAUUAUUAUUAUUAUUAUUAUUAUUAUAUGCUCUUAAUAUCCAAAUUCAAGAUUUUACUUUAAUGCCAAUAUUUUGUUAUUUUUUAAACACUAUUUUAUUGUAAUAAUCUAAAAGAAUGAUGAAAAUGCAAACCAGCAGAAGUGUUAGAUUUACUCUCACAGUGCAUAAAGCAAGGAGG